GCUGGUAUGGCUCAGUCGGUAGAGCAGUUCACUCGUAAUGAACAGGUCAUCGGUUCGAAUCCGAUUACCAGCUCCA
rnacentral:tRNA from 1 species